rnacentral:rRNA from 1 species
UACGUAGGGUGCAAGCGUUAAUCGGAAUUACUGGGCGUAAAGCGUGCGCAGGCGGUUUUGUAAGUCUGACGUGAAAUCCCCGGGCUCAACCUGGGAAUUGCGUUGGAGACUGCAAGGCUGGAGUCUGGCAGAGGGGGAUAGAAUUCCACGUGUAGCAGUGAAAUGCGUAGAGAUGUGGAGGAACACCGAUGGCGAAGGCAGCCCCCUGGGUCAAGACUGACGCUCAUGCACGAAAGCGUGGGGAGCAAACAGG